UCCUCCGCCGAGCCCCGCCUCCGGCCGCUCCUCUCCCUCGCCGUCUCCCUCCUCUCCACGCCGGCCGUCGCCUCUGCUCCGGCGAGAAGCCCAGGCGAGCCUGGGCCGCGCCCGAUCCGAUCUGAGACGGUUGACUUUUUCUUCCCUCCCCCCGAAAUUCUCUGGUCCCAUGGAUUUUUACAUUAUAUGCUCCUGUUCAUCACAUCAUAACUCUCUGCAUACUAUUCCGUUUUGCGUGCAUGAUAUAUCUAAAUGUUCUUCUCGAGAUGCUCUUCAUUUUGUUCCUUUAUGCCAUGUUCAUUUGAGUCCAUCUUGAUGCCCAAAUCUCUGGUGCAAGAGUGCUAUAUGCUGUUACCUGCUGUUACUUAUCAGAACGUGGUGAUUUGUUAUUUUUGUUGCAAUUGAUGUGUGCAUCUUAUGAGUAGGAGCUCAUAAGAUAUGUUUUGAUGUAUGCCAUGCCAUAUUUACAGAGGUGUAUGUCAUGUAUUUUUUUGAUCUCUGUGGUGACUAGCACAAGCAUGCAAACUAGGCUUCGUGAUGUUUCUGAUAUCAGGGACUUAGUAUUUUCAGUCUGUUACUGCUGUUAUUUUGUUGCUAUGUAUCCUUGUGGCGAUAGUGAGAUCCAUGCUUCUUCUGGGAAUGUUCAGUAAGGAUGUUUUGUAGAUAUAGUUGUGCUCUAUCCAUCCAUGCACCUAUUUGAAAUUAUGGAGUGCCAUAGAAUGUCUUAAUCUUGCUCUACUUUCGCUACAAAAUAUUCCUGGCAGAUUGUUAACAUGAUAUUCAAUUUUGCCAAAGGUUGUUGUAGUUGUUUCAUACAUGCUAUGAACUUGCUCUUGCCAUGGUUAGCUUCAUAAACAUGCCAUCUUGCUGUAGGUAUGCUUUUUUGUCAUGCAUUUCUUUGUGGUGAGUGAAUCAAGCUCACCAAGAUGACUUCAUAAUACUGUUUCUGCCAUGCUCUGUUUUCUGCUAAGUCUGAAACCUGUUAAAGAUCAUUGCUAUGGUUACAUGGGUGCCAUCAUAUCUUCUGGUCCUUUUUGGCUCAUGGUCAGUAAGGGUCUUUUGUUCUAUGCAUUUAGUAGAUUUAUGCCGUGCCUUGUUUUGCUAUGUUAAGUUCUUGUAGCAUGUUGGUUGCUUGCUCUGAACAUUGCUACCUGAUGCUGUUUCAGCCAUGUCCAGUAAUUUCACCAAGUCUGUGAACCUGAUAUCUUUUGCACUUUUGCCAUGCUUGUUUGAACCUGUUAUGUUGUGAUCUAGCCAUAGCUCACUGUUCAUAUUUUAUCAAGCAUCUCCUGUAGAUUACUGCCAUAUGCUUUGUUGCUAUUUUGGGGUGUUAUAGCAUAGCUACUUGUUGCAUUCUAAGUGCUACCAUGCUGUUAAUCGCAGAAUCGUGACAUUCUUGUUUUGCUUGCCAUUUGCAAACCGUGCAUCCGUUUCCGGUGAUCUUUAUAUCAAUUUCGACCGAAAUCAUCUCAUCUUUCCAGUGGCAUACUUGGUUUGCCAAGUUACUUCCUUGUUCACCCUUUUUCUUCCGGAGCACGCAUAUGCAUCGCAUACCACAUCUCGCAUAUCAUACAUGUUUUGCAUCAUGUUGCUUGUGCAUUUUCCGUGAUUGAUUGUGGUUCCUUUGCUUGUGUUCUUGUUGUGGGUAGAGCCGGGAGACAAGUUCGUGAACGAGGAACCUAUUGAGUACGCUUACGAGGAUCAAGCUUUCGACAACUCUGAGAACCUUGCAGGCAAGAUGACCAUACCCUCGAAAUCACUUCUAUCUUUGUUUUGCUAGUUGUUCGUUCUAUUGCUAUGCUGCGCUACCCACCACUUGCUAUAUCAUGCCUCCCAUAUUGCCAUGUCAAGCCUCUAACCAUCCUUCCCUAGCAAACCGUUGUUUGGCUAAGUUACUGCUUUUGCUCAGCCCUCUUAUAGCGUUGCUAGUUGCAGGUGAAGUUGAAGUUGGUUCCAUGUUGGAACAUGGAUAUUUUUGGAAUAUCACAAUAUCUCUUAUUUAAUUAAUGCAUCUAUAUAUUUGGUAAAGGGUGGAAGGCUCGGCCUUAUGCCUGGUGUUUUGUUCCACUCUUGCCGCCCUAGUUUCCGUCAUACCGGUAUUAUGUUCCUUGAGUUUGCGUUCCUUACGCGGUUGGGUGAUUUAUGGGACCCCCUUGACAGUUCGCCUUGAAUAAAACUCCUCCAGCAAGGCCCAACCUUGGUUUUACCAUUUGCCACCUAAGCCUUUUUCCCUUGGGUUUUCGCGAGCCCGAGGGUCAUCUUUAUUUAAACCCCCGGACCAGUGCUCCUUCGAGUGCUGGCCCAAACCGAGCGAUGUCCGGCGCCCCCUGGGCAACCAGGGUCUAUGCCAACCCGACUCUGGCUCAUCCGAUGUGCCUUGAGAACGAGAUAUGUGUAGCUCCUAUCGGGAUUUGUCGGCACAUUCGGGCGGCUUUGCUGGUCUUGUUUUACCAUUGUCGAAAUGUCUUGUAAACCGGGAUUCCGAGACUGAUCGGGUCUUCCUGGGAGAAGGUUGAUCCUUCGUUGACCGUGAGAGCUUAUAAUGGGCUAAGUUGGGACACCCCUGCAGGGUAUUAUCUUUCGAAAGCCGUGCCCGCGAUUAUGAGGCAGAUGGGAAUUUGUUAAUGUCCGGUUGUAGAGAACUUGUCACUUGACUUCAUUGAAAUACAUCAACCGUGUGUGUAGCCAUGAUGGUCUCUUCUCAGCGGAGUCCAGGAAGUGAACACGGUUUGAGUUAUGCAUGAACGUAAGUAGUUUCAGGAUCACUUCUUGAUCAUUUCUAGCUUCGCGAUCGUUGCGUUGCUUCUCUUCUCGCUCUCUUUUGCGUAUGUUAGCCACCAUAUAUGCUUAGUGCCUGCUGCAGCUCCACCUCAUUACACCAUCCUUUCCUAUAAGCUUAAAUAGUCUUGAUCUCGCGGGUGUGAGAUUGCUGAGUCCUCGUGACUCACAGAAUCUACCAAAACAGUUGCAGGUGCCGACGAUGCCAGUGCAGAUGAUGCAACCGAGCUCAAGUGGGAGUUCGACGAGGAAUGUGGUCGUUACUAUGUUUCUUUUCCUGAUGAUCAGUAGUGGAGCCCAGUUGGGAUGAUCAGGGAUCUAGCAUUUGGGGUUAUCUUAUGUUCAUUUGGAUUUGACCGUAGUCGGUCUAUGUGUGGAUUUUGGAUGAUGUAUGAAUUAUUUAUGUACUGUGUGAAGUGGCGAUUGUAAGCCAACUCUCGUUAUCCCAUUCUUGUUCAUUACAUGGGAUUGUGUGAAGAUGACCCUUCUUGCGACAAAACCACAAUGCGGUUAUGCCUCUAAGUCUUGCCUCGACAGGUGGGAGAUAUA
rnacentral:lncRNA from 1 species